UACGUAGGAGGCAAGCGUUGUCCGGAAUUACUGGGCGUAAAGCGCGUGUAGGUGGUGGGACAAGUCUGCUGUGAAAGCGCCUGGCUUAACCGGGCGAGGUCGGCGGAAACUGUCCGACUCGAGGACGGUAGAGGGGGGUGGAAUUCCCGGUGUAGUGGUGAAAUGCGUAGAGAUCGGUAGGAACACCAAUGGCGAAGGCAGCUUGCUGGGCCACCCUUGACACUGAGACACGAAAGCGUGGGGAGCGAACAGG
rnacentral:rRNA from 1 species